rnacentral:rRNA from 1 species
UACGGGGGGGGUAAGCGUUGUUCGGAAUUACUGGGCGUAAAGGGCUCGUAGGCGGCCAACUAAGUCAUACGUGAAAUCCCUCAGCUUAACUGGGGAACUGCGUGUGAUACUGGAUGGCUUGGAUUUGGGGGAGGGAUGCGGAAUUCCAGGUGUAGCGGUGAAAUGCGUAGAUAUCUGGAGGAACACCGGUGGCGAAGGCGGCAUCCUGGACCAAUAUUGACGCUGAGGAGCGAAAGCCAGGGGAGCAAACGGG